AUGGGUGACUUAAAAAAGCACCUCUCAGUCUAUUUCCCGGUUUUUAAUGAAAAACGAAAAAAUCGAUACUUUUCUCCAUCCCUGUCGGAGUACGUCUCAAGUAAAAUGGCUUUAAUUCGGAGGCUUUUUGUGCGGGACAAAAUAAAGUUUCGGGAUGAAAUCGAGCAGGCCGAGCAGGAGGAGGCGCAGGAGUUGAAGCCGACCAAGCGGCAGAGUCUGAAGAGGAAGCGGUUCGCGGUGAAGUUCGCUGCCCUGCCGGAGGAGAUGUCCCGAGAGGGAGGCCAGCUCACCAUCACCGAGUCCCUCGACUCGGACCAGAUGGAGGCACUCAAGACGCUCAAAGGACUCGUUGCCGACGAAAGCAAUUUAUACAUUGGCGAAGAUGACAGAGUUUUAAUGAGGUAUCUAAGGUGCACGAAUUUCAACCCAGACAAAGCUUUUUAUAGGAUGAAAUCUGUAUAUACUUUAAAAGCAAAUAAUCCCAACUGGUAUCCAGAUGGUAGGCCACUUAAGGAGUAUAGCUGGCUUUUAGACAAGCAUGUUCAUCAUCUACUAUCCAGUAGAGACUCGAAGGGAGGAAAGUGUAUCUGGUUAAACUCGGAAAUAUAG
rnacentral:lncRNA from 1 species